UCUGAACCCGCAGGGGGGAGGGCGAGUAAAGCGGCGAACGGGUGAGUAACACGUAACGAACCUACCUUCGCGUUGGGGACAACCACAGGAAACUGCGGCUAAUACCCAAUGGUCUCUUUUCUCAUAAGAGGAACGAAGUAAAGACGCUUUUGUGUCACGCGAAGAGGGGGUUGCGGCCUAUCAGCUUGAUGGUGAGGUAACGGCUCACCAUGGCUCUGACGGGUAGCAGGUCUGAGAGGACGACCUGUCACAUGGGGACUGAGACACGGCCCUGACUCCUACGGGAGGCAGCAGUGGGGAAUCUUCGGCAAUGGGCGAAAGCCUGACCGAGCGACGCCGCGUGGGGGAUGAAGCCCUUCGGGGUGUAAACCUCUUUUCUGGGGGAAGAAAUAAGGAUAGUAGGUAAUGACUAUCUGAUGACGGUACCCCAGGAAUAAGAGACGGCUAACUCUGUGCCAGCAGCCGCGGUAAGACAGAGGUCUCAAGCGUUAUCCGGAUUCACUGGGCGUAAAGGGCGUCUAGGCGGUCUCGUGUGUCAUCUGUGAAAGCUCCCGGCUCAACUGGGAGAGGUCGGGUGAAACUACGAGACUCGAGCUUCGGAGGGGAGAGUGGAACUUCCAGAGUAACGGUGAAAUGUGCAGAUACUGGAAGGUACCUCGAUAGCGAAGGCAGCUCUCUGGCCGACAGCUGACGCUGAAGCGCGAAAGCGUGGGUAGCAAACCGGAUUAGAUACCCGGGUAGUCCACGCCCCAAACGAUGUCAACUAGGUGUUGGCUCCUUUAACUGAGGGCCAGUGCCGCAGCUAACGCGUUAAGUUGACCGCCUGGGGACUACGGCCGCAAGGCUAAAACUCAAGGGAAUUGACGGGGGCCCGCACAAGCGGUGGAGCACGUGGUUUAAUUCGAUGGUAAGCGAAGCACCUCACCUGGUCUUGACAUGCAUGUAGUACCGAGCCGAAAGGUAAGGGACUUCGACUCUUCGGAGAAGGGAGCAUGCACAGGUGCUGCAUGGCUGUCGUCAGCUCGUGUCGUAGGACGUCGGGUUAAGUCCCUCAACGAGCGCAACCCCCGCACUUUGUUGCUACCGGGUAAAGCCGAGCACUCUAAGUGGACUGCCAGCGAAUAGUUGGAGGAAGGAGGGGAUGACGUCAAGUCAGUAUGGCCCUUAUGACCAGGGCGACACACGUGCUACAAUGGCCGGUACAAAGGGUCGCGAACCCGCAAGGGGGAGCCAAUCUCAAAAAACCGGUCUCAGUUCAGAUUGGAGUCUGCAACCCGACUCCAUGAAGUAGGAAUCGCUAGUAAUCGUGGGUCAGCCACACCACGGUGAA
rnacentral:rRNA from 1 species